rnacentral:sRNA from 12 species
ACGCUUGAUGGUAAAACUAUAUUAAUUUCACCAUAAUUACCAUAAAAAACAAUCAAAAAGAAGAUUAUGGUAUAUC